rnacentral:rRNA from 1 species
GACGAACGCUGGCGGCGUGCCUAAUACAUGCAAGUAGAACGCAGUAGCGAACGGGUGAGUAACGCGUAGGUAACUGCCUCAUAGCGGGGGAUAACUAUUGGAAACGAUAGCUAAUACCGCAUACUGUGAGAUGGACCUGCGUUGUAUUACCUAGUUGGAUGGGUAAAGUCUCACCAAGGCGACGAUACAUAGCCGACCUGAGAGGGUGAUCGGCCACACUGGGGCUGGGGCACGGCCCAAACCCCUACUGGAGGGAGCAGUAGGGAAACUUCGGGAAUGGGCGGAAGGCUGACCCGGCAACGCCGCGUGAGUGAAGGAAGGUUUCGGGUCGUAAAGCUCUGUUGUUAAAGAAGCGGUAUCUAACCAGAAAGGGACGGCUAACUACGUGCCAGCAGCCGCGGUAAUUC